rnacentral:rRNA from 1 species
GAUGAACGCUGGCGGCGUGCCUAAUACAUGCAAGUCGAGCGAACAGACGAGGAGCUUGCUCCUCUGACGUUAGCGGCGGACGGGUGAGUAACACGUGGAUAACCUACCUAUAAGACUGGGAUAACUUCGGGAAACCGGAGCUAAUACCGAAUAAUAUAUUGAACCGCAUGGUUCAAUAGUGAAAGACGGUUUUGCUGUCACUUAUAGAUGGAUCCGCGCCGCAUUAGCUAGUUGGUAAGGUAACGGCUUACCAAGGCGACGAUGCGUAGCCGACCUGAGAGGGUGAUCGGCCACACUGGAACUGAGACACGGUCCAGACUCCUACGGGAGGCAGCAGUAGGGAAUCUUCCGCAAUGGGCGAAAGCCUGACGGAGCAACGCCGCGUGAGUGAUGAAGGUCUUCGGAUCGUAAAACUCUGUUAUUAGGGAAGAACAAAUGUGUAAGUAACUAUGCACGUCUUGACGGUACCUAAUCAGAAAGCCACGGCUAACUACGUG